AUUGAACGCUGGCGGCAGGCCUAACACAUGCAAGUCGAACGGUAACAGGAAGAAGCUUGCUUCUUUGCUGACGAGUGGCGGACGGGUGAGUAAUGUCUGGGAAACUGCCUGAUGGAGGGGGAUAACUACUGGGAACGGUAGCUAAUACCGCAUAACGUCGCAAGACCAAAGAGGGGGACCUUCGGGCCUCUUGCCAUCGGAUGUGCCCAGAUGGGAUUAGCUAGUAGGUGGGGUAACGGCUCACCUAGGCGACGAUCCCUAGCUGGUCUGAGAGGAUGACCAGCCACACUGGAACUGAGACACGGUCCAGACUCCUACGGGAGGCAGCAGUGGGGAAUAUUGCACAAUGGGCGCAAGCCUGAUGCAGCCAUGCCGCGUGUAUGAAGAAGGCCUUCGGGUUGUAAAGUACUUUCAGCGGGGAGGAAGGGAGUAAAGUUAAUACCUUUGCUCAUUGACGUUACCCGCAGAAGAAGCACCGGCUAACUCCGUG
rnacentral:rRNA from 1 species